AAUCUUGCGCAAUGGGCGAAAGCCUGACGCAGCAACGCCGCGUGCGGGACGAAGGCCUUCGGGUUGUAAACCGCUUUCAGCAGGGACGAUUAUGACGGUACCUGCAGAAGAAGCCCCGGCCAACUACGUGCCAGCAGCCGCGGUAACACGUAGGGGGCGAGCGUUGUCCGGAUUUAUUGGGCGUAAAGAGCUCGUAGGCGGCUUGGUAAGUCAGGUGUGAAAACUUCAGGCUCAACCUGGAGACGCCACUUGAUACUGCCAUGGCUAGAGUCCGGUAGGGGAGCAUGGAAUUCCUGGUGUAGCGGUGAAAUGCGCAGAUAUCAGGAGGAACACCAGUAGCGAAGGCGGUGCUCUGGGCCGGAACUGACGCUGAGGAGCGAAAGCGUGGGUAGCAAACAGG
rnacentral:rRNA from 1 species